UACGUAGGGUGCAAGCGUUGCCCGGAUUUAUUGGGCGUAAAGGGCGCGUAGGCGGCUUGACAAGUCAAAGGUGAAAUCCCUCGGCUCAACUGAGGAACUGCCUUUGAAACUGUCAGGCUUGAGGCCGGGAGGGGGUAGCGGAAUUCCCAGUGUAGCGGUGAAAUGCGUAGAUAUUGGGAGGAACACCAGUGGCGAAGGCGGCUACCUGGACCGGUACUGACGCUGAUGCGCGAAAGCGUGGGUAGCAAACAGG
rnacentral:rRNA from 1 species